CUGAGCCUGACCAGAUGCCCAGAUCUGAUGCUGCAGAAGAAAGAACUGGGCCAAAGAAACUUGGGAAGCAUGAAAGGACCCUACUUUUAAGGAAGCUCCUUUCUUUAGGAGCAGAAGGAUUUUCCUUAUCCAGGGGAAGAAAGAAGUCUUUUCAGAGAACAAAACUUUGCACCAGGUUCUCUGCCAGGAGUCAUGGGCUUUUUGGGUGACCUGGAGAGGUCACAUCACACCGGUUCCUACCAGCACAGAAACGUUGUGGCUUGGCAGAAGUUCAGCGUGGUCUCCCAGAAGAUGAG